rnacentral:rRNA from 1 species
GGUUGAUCCUGCCAGUAGUCAUAUGCUUGUGUUAAAGAUUAAGCCAUGCAUGCCUUAGUAUAGGUGGAUAAAUAACCGAAACUGCGGAUGGCUCAAUAAAUCAGUCAUAAUUAAUUUGGUGAAGCAAGGAAUUAGAAGGAUAACCCUGUUAAUUGUAGAGCUAAUACAAGAAGAAGAUAUUCCUUUUAAAGGGAAUAGCAUUUAUCAGCUCAAUUUCUUUAAUACAUUUGUAUUGAAGGAAGGGGAAAAAGAAUAAUAAAAGUUUAUUUACAGGAGCUUGUGUAAUAAUCCAG